UUUUCACAAAAUCCGUCAAAAAAUUUAAAAGAAAUAUCACAAAAAUUAGAAAAAUAUAUAAAAAAAUGUUUCACUCUCAAAGUCUCAAGUUGAUAACCAGUAUUACUCUCACUCUCACUCUCAACCCACUGUCGACUCAGACUACCGCUGCGUAUUACUCUGACUAUUGUUCUGAGUCACAAUAGCCUAAUUUAUGGAAGUCACUACCAAACUUCUAUAUCAAGUGCUGGUGGAAUUGGAGGUUGAGGAUUGGUACAUCAUCACGGCUAAAGUAUGACCAAUGCUUGGCGGAUAUUGUUACUAAAACAAAUUUAUUGGUUGUGGAAGGAUACUUGUUUGAACUUCUUGAUACAGUCCGAACAAUUUCUAAAGUACGCGAGAAAGCCCAAAAGAAUGGAGCAUUUGUUGCCAUCACAGCAUCAUAUGUGUCCUGCAUUGAAAGAUAGUAUGAUGAUUACUGGGAAAUCAGGGAAAAUUAUGCAGAUAUAGUAUUUGCGAACAGUGAAGAAGCAUAUCAAAAUUUGAGGAUGAGUUAUCUCAAAACUUCAAUGUUCUGGAUAUUGAUCCCUCUUGUUUAUAAUUCUCAUUGAAUAAUUUAUCCAAAUUAGCUUCUCUCAGUGACAAUAUAGAGAAGAUCAACAGGAUGAAAUGAUGAGUAAAUCAUAAGAAUUAGCUUGUGUUGUCCUCCUGCCAAAGUUAUUUUGGAUAAUGGAGAAACCAGUCCACGAGUUCUGUGGGCAUAUGGGUGAAGUCUUGGCCCUCUCAUGGUCUAAAAAUGGGGUUAGUAUAAUAAUAUCUGACUGGUCACUAUAUAGUAAAAACUCUUCCAUUCACUUGUACUUUUCCACUAUACUAGCCUAUCGAGAGAAAGGCAUUCUCGUUUCCCUGUUAUCUUUAACAUAACUACUUAUUCCCCAAAUCAUAUCCCAAGAUUUUUUGAAAUAUUAAUAGUCAUGGGCAUUAAAGUAUAAUAUGUACUUCAUUUAUUACUUCUUAAGGAGAGUGUAAAGUCCAUUGUGGAGAAGUAAUAGUGAAUGGAGGGAGUAUAUUUUAUGGCUUCGUAAAACAUCAUCCAACAUGAAUAAACUGUAAUUCAUGUGCCAACGUCAUUUUCUGUAGUAUCUUUUGUCAUCUUCUGUCGAUAAAAUAGCUCGUCUAUGGAAAGUUAGACAUGAUCAAUAUCUUGGUGUUUAUUCACAUUACAUUAUGGUGAGCCUAUUUUUGUUAUUUCAAUCUUCUUGCUGAAGUUCUUCUCUAAACUUUAAACUGGAUGUUCAUCUCAUAUAUCUGCCGAUGUCAUACUUAGAUUCAGUCACUUGUGUGGAAUUAAGUCCCAUGGAUGAUAAUUAUUUCAUUAGUGGCUCGAUAGAUGGGAAAGUACGUCUAUGGGAUUUGUAUGGUUGUCGAGUGAUUGAUUGGACUGAUGUGAAGGAAAUAGUGGUUGUUUUUUGUUAUUGUCCUGAUGGAAAGGUAUGAUUGCCUUUCUUUGUUUUUUAAACCUUUUUAAAGAUGGUUACUUAAUUUUUGAACUUAUUUAAGUUUCUCGCUAGUGAUUGGUGCAGGGGGUAUUGUCGGAUACAUGAAUGGAAAUUGCUAUUUUUAGGAUGUUGUAGAUGGGCCUCCCGGUAAGCUUGCUAGGAAAGAAGAAGCUUACUAACAAGAGAGUAACUGGAUUUCAAAACUGCCCAAACGACUCAAGUAAAGUCAUGGUUAUUUCUGUUGAUUCUCAAGUUAGAAUAAUUUGUAGAUCCAAUAUUGUUUACAAAUUCAAAGGUGUCCAAAAAUGCAGGAGAUGAAGAAAGAAAUGAUGAAGAAAUUGACCUUACUUGAAGGAGAUGAUUGUCCAAAAUGAAGGAGAUGAAGAAAUAUGUGAUGCUUUAAUUUAUAUUGAUCUUUUUAAUUUUGAAGUAGUUGGAAAAUCGUUGCAAUAGCUAAUUAUAGUGGUUGAAAUAGGUUGCAAAAAAUGUUGUAAAACACCUAAAAACCAUUGCAAUACGCAUUGCAAUAGGUAGUUAAAAGUAUUGCAAAAGACCAAUAAAUGUUGCAUUAGAUGUCCAAAAA